UGGGGAAUAUUGCACAAUGGGCGCAAGCCUGAUGCAGCCAUGCCGCGUGUGUGAAGAAGGCCUUCGGGUUGUAAAGCACUUUCAGCGAGGAGGAAGGUGGUGAGCUUAAUACGCUCAUCAAUUGACGUUACUCGCAGAAGAAGCACCGGCUAACUCCGUGCCAGCAGCCGCGGUAAUACGGAGGGUGCAAGCGUUAAUCGGAAUUACUGGGCGUAAAGCGCACGCAGGCGGUUUGUUAAGUCAGNUGUGAAAUCCCCGGGCUCAACCUGGGAACUGCAUUUGAAACUGGCAAGCUAGAGUCUCGUAGAGGGGGGUAGAAUUCCAGGUGUAGCGGUGAAAUGCGUAGAGAUCUGGAGGAAUACCGGUGGCGAAGGCGGCCCCCUGGACGAAGACUGACGCUCAGGUGCGAAAGCGUGGGGCAGCAAACAGGAUUAGAUACCCUGGUAGUCCACGCUGUAAACGAUGUCGAUUUGGAGGUUGUGCCCCUUGAGGCGUGGCUUCCGGAGCUAACG
rnacentral:rRNA from 1 species